rnacentral:rRNA from 1 species
ACAUGCAAGUCGAGCGCUCUCUUCGGAGGGAGCGGCGGACGGGUGAGUAACGCGUGGGAAUAUACCCUUCACUAAGGAAUAGCCUCGGGAAACUGAGAGUAAUACCUUAUACGCCCUUCGGGGGAAAGAUUUAUCGGUGAAGGAUUAGCCCGCGUUAGAUUAGAUAGUUGGUGGGGUAAUGGCCUACCAAGUCUACGAUCUAUAGCUGGUUUGAGAGGAUGAUCAGCCACACUGGGACUGAGACACGGCCCAGACUCCUACGGGAGGCAGCAGUAGGGAAUCUUAGACAAU